rnacentral:rRNA from 1 species
UACGUAGGGCGCAAGCGUUAUCCGGAAUUAUUGGGCGUAAAGAGCUCGUAGGCGGUUUGUCGCGUCUGCCGUGAAAGUCCGGGGCUCAACUCCGGAUCUGCGGUGGGUACGGGCAGACUAGAGUGAUGUAGGGGAGACUGGAAUUCCUGGUGUAGCGGUGAAAUGCGCAGAUAUCAGGAGGAACACCGGUGCGAAGGCGGGUCUCU